CCAGCGCGCGGCAGUUCCCCGCCUCUCGGGAAGCUCCGGAUCCUGGCUCCUCAGCACCACCUGGCGACCAGUUGCUGACACAGCAGGCCGGGCCAGGGGCGCGGCAGAACUGGGCGGGGCUUUGAUUUUGGAGCGCGGCCAGCGAGUCCCCAGAGCUCUGUCCCCUGAGACGUGGGCUUAUUUCUACACACGCAAAGGGAGAAGAUAGAAUCCACAGAUACUGAAAUAUGUGUAAGGGCUAACCAAAGCAGCUGGGAUCAGACCAAAGCUGUGAAGGAGAAUGGAAAAGAAAUUCAAAGAGAAGAGACCCCGUGGGGGCAGAUGUCAGGAAUGCACCAGUGAAAACACUCUUCCGAAAGACAAAGGUGGAUCUAUUUCUUUUGUUUGCAACAACAGGUGUGGACACAGUUCAGCAAGACAAACAACAAAAGCCCUCCUGGAUCUGGUUUGGAUCAAGGAAGCCAAGAAGAUGAGGAUGCCACCCAGGGACGGCCAUAUUUGCAGGAAGCAGUUGGUCUGUGGCAGUAGAACAGAACAGACUGGAAAUACACUUGUUGGGGAGGAUGUAGAGGAAUUGCAAGUCUCAUCCACUGCUGGUGGGAGUGGACAGCGAUGCAACCACUUCAGAAAAUUGUCUUGAUGGUUUUUUAUGCAGUUAAACACAUAACUAUCCUGUGAUCCAGCAAUUCUACUCCUAGGUAUUUACCCAGAAAAAAUACGUUUAUCCCCACCAGGGCCUAGAUUAGGGUGAGGCAAGCAAGGUUGCCUCAGGUGAGAAAUUUAAGGAGGCACUCACUUUUAGGAUUGUACAGGUGCGGGGUUGGCACUUAGAGCCAUGGACACGAGCCAGUGCCUCCUUAAAUUUUGUGACCUAGGCUUCCUGUCCUGCCUCACCCUAAUCCAGACUGUGGUCCACACAGACUUGUAUUCAAAUGUUCACAGCAGACAACUUCAUAAAGUGAAAUAAGUGACAACCCACAUAUUUAUCAGUAGGUGAGUUGGUAAACAAACUGGCAGAUAGAGCAGAAAGGAACUAUUGAUACGUGCAGAAAUGUGGCUGAAUCUCAUUAUGGCUAAAUGGAAGAAGCCAUACACACAAGACUGCAUACUAUUAUGAUUCCGUUCAUAUAAAUUUAAAGAAUGGGCAAAACUGAAUCUAGUGACGGAAAGCUGAACAAUGGUCUCUUGACAAGUGUGGGUGGGGAUUGGCUGCGAAGGGAGACAGAGAGCUUUCUGGAGUGAUUCUAAUAGUCUAUAUAUUGAUUGGGAUGCUGGUUAUGUGAGUUUAUUUACUUAUUAAAUUAAAUACUUAUUAAGGAUUAAAUUAAA